UCGUCACACUAUCAUUAACUGAAUCCAUAGGUUAAUGAGGCGAACCGGGGGAACUGAAACAUCUAAGUACCCCGAGGAAAAGAAAUCAACCGAGAUUCCCCCAGUAGCGGCGAGCGAACGGGGAGGAGCCCAGAGCCUGAAUCAGCAUGUGUGUUAGUGGAAGCGUCUGGAAAGGCGCGCGAUACAGGGUGACAGCCCCGUACACAAAAGCGCAUGUGCUGUGAGCUCGAUGAGUAGGGCGGGACACGUGGUAUCCUGUCUGAAUAUGGGGGGACCAUCCUCCAAGGCUAAAUACUCCUGACUGACCGAUAGUGAACCAGUACCGUGAGGGAAAGGCGAAAAGAACCCCGGCGAGGGGAGUGAAAAAGAACCUGAAACCGUGUACGUACAAGCAGUGGGAGCCCCACCACUAAGCCAGUGGUGAACUCCACAUACGCAUCCUUUGCUGAGGAUACGGUUAACGGAGCGAAAGCGACGUUCAACCUCAAAAGAAGCAGAGGGGGCUUAGUGGUGGGGUGACUGCGUACCUUUUGUAUAAUGGGUCAGCGACUUAUAUUCUGUAGCAAGGUUAACCGUAUAGGGGAGCCGGAGGGAAACCGAGUCUUAACCGGGCGUUAAGUUGCAGGGUAUAGACCCGAAACCCGGUGAUCUAGCCAUGGGCAGGUUGAAGGUUGGGUAACACUAACUGGAGGACCGAACCGACUAAUGUUGAAAAAUUAGCGGAUGACCUGUGGCUGGGGGUGAAAGGCCAAUCAAACCGGGAGAUAGCUGGUUCUCCCCGAAAGCUAUUUAGGUAGCGCCUCGUGAAUUCAUCUCCGGGGGUAGAGCACUGUUUCGGCUAGGGGGCCAUCCCGGCUUACCAACCCGAUGCAAACUGCGAAUACCGGAGAAUGUUAUCACGGGAGACACACGGCGGGUGCUAACGUCCGUCGUGAAGAGGGAAACAACCCAGACCGCCAGCUAAGGUCCCAAAGUCAUGGUUAAGUGGGAAACGAUGUGGGAAGGCCCAGACAGCCAGGAUGUUGGCUUAGAAGCAGCCAUCAUUUAAAGAAAGCGUAAUAGCUCACUGGUCGAGUCGGCCUGCGCGGAAGAUGUAACGGGGCUAAACCAUGCACCGAAGCUGCGGCAGCGAACGUAUCACUUAAAGCGAUUCAGCGGAUGACGAUUGACGGAGCGAAGCGACGUCAAAGCGUAUACAAAGUCGAGUCG
rnacentral:rRNA from 1 species